UGUCCGUGCAGACAUGAAUCUGCUCUGUUGGCAGAGUCUCGUGCCCUCCAGUUUGACGAGCGGCCCGCCGUUUCUUUUUAUUUUGUCCAGGGCCACUUCACACACUGACUUUGCUUGCAUACCGCCACUGGCAUUCUUGGCUUCAUUUAUGUAUUAUUCCCCGUCUACCGUGGUGUGGAAUGUAGCCGGAUUGAAUGAUGCCUCGGAGUCGCACAAGAGGCCAGAAGAGAGUGUCUGAUGCCCCAGGACUGGAGUUACAGACAAUUACGAGCUGCCAGGUGUUUUCGAGAGAGAUUGCUGCCAUUAGCAUGGGAGAAAGGCCACAGAGUGUGCGACAGAGGAUGGAAAGGAUGGUGUGCAGUAGAUAGGUACAUGUACGAUCUGGCUGUUAGGGAAGAAAUUGAUAAAAUCCAAUCAUCCAUCCAUCACGGAAAUAAUAAUGCAGAUAGUUACACUUAAUUGGUUUAAUUUAAAGGGUCAAAUGGGCACAUAAUAACGAUCGCACCAUUUCUAAAAUGAAUAAAUUU